AAGUCGUAACAAGGUUUCCGUAGGUGAACCUGCGGAAGGAUCAUUGAGAGAGUUGGGUGGGGGUUGUUGGAAUGUAGGGUGAGAUAUCACGUGACAAACUAUUCUUUAAUAUAAUGACUAGCCACCUGGGAUCUCUGGGCUCUU
rnacentral:misc_RNA from 1 species